rnacentral:rRNA from 1 species
AGCCUACGGGGGGCAGCAGUGGGGGAUAUUGCACAAUGGGGGCAACCCUGAUGCAGCGACGCCGCGUGAGCGAUGGAGUACUUCGGUAUGUAAAGCUCUGUCAGCAGGGAAGAGAAUGACGGUACCUGACCAAGAAGCCCCGGCUAAAUACGUGCCAGCAGCCGCGGUAAUACGUAUGGGGCAAGCGUUAUCCGGAUUUAUUGGGUUUAAAGGGUGCGCAGGCGGCACGGCAAGCCGGCGGUCAAAUCGCGGGGCUCAACCCCGCCCAGCCGUCGGAACUGCCGGGCUAGAGUGGGCGAGAAGUG